rnacentral:rRNA from 1 species
UACGUAGGGUGCGAGCGUUGUCCGGAAUUAUUGGGCGUAAAGAGCUCGUAGGCGGUGUGUCACGUCGUUCGUGAAAAACCUGCAGCUUAACUGUGGGCGUGCGGUCGAUACGGGCAGACUAGAGUUCGGUAGGGGAGUCUGGAAUUCCUGGUGUAGCGGUGAAAUGCGCAGAUAUCAGGAGGAACACCGGUGGCGAAGGCGGGACUCUGGGCCGAUACUGACGCUGAGGAGCGAAAGCGUGGGGAGCGAACAGG